rnacentral:rRNA from 1 species
CGCCGCGUGAGUGAUGAAGGUCUUCGGAUCGUAAAGCUCUGUCUUCAGGGACGAUAAUGACGGUACCUGAGGAGGAAGCCACGGCUAACUACGUGCCAGCAGCCGCGGUAAUACGUAGGUGGCGAGCGUUGUCCGGAUUUACUGGGCGUAAAGGGAGCGUAGGCGGAUUUUUAAGUGAGAUGUGAAAUACCCGGGCUCAACUUGGGUGCUGCAUUUCAAACUGGAAGUCUAGAGUGCAGGAGAGGAGAGUGGAAUUCCUAGUGUAGCGGUGAAAUGCGUAGAGAUUAGGAAGAACACCAGUGGCGAAGGCGACUCUCUGGACUGUAACUGACGCUGAGGCUCGAAAGCGUGGGGAGCAAACAGGAUUAGAUACCCUGGUAGUCACA